UAAAAAACUAGUUAAUUUUAUAACAUAAGAAUGUCAUUCUUAAAUUACUAUAAAGUGUUUUUUAA
rnacentral:tRNA from 1 species